rnacentral:lncRNA from 1 species
ACGUGAGUACCUCUUGGCUGUUGUAACACCCUAGGUGUUAAGCAUGCACUUAGCCUCAUAAACUUACUCAUAAGCAUCCUCAUCAAGCAUAGCAUGAGCAUAGCAUCACAUGUGCAUAGUGACAUUUGUUAAUUGUGAUUUUAUGUGCUUGAUUUAGAUGAAUUAAAUAUAAUACAUUAAUGUGCUUGCUUCAAACAUGCUUGUGAUGACCAAAGUAGGUUGAAAUGUGUUUUAGAAGAUUUAAGAAUAAUUGUGUUAAAUUUUUGGAGCUCUAGAAUUUGAGAAAUGAAUUUAAUACAAAAAUCCCUAAAAUGGAUUUAUUUAAAAACCUAGAACUAGUUUUGAGUUGCAUUUCAAAUUCUAUUUGGAAUUUGGGGUUACAGCUUAAAGCAAAGUUGUAGAGCUAUUUAUUUUGAUCAACUUUUGUUUUAGGGGCCAAGUCUGGAAAAGAUUUUAAAUAAGUCAAAAUGUGCUUGGAAAAUAUUUGGGAAAAAGAAAUAAAAAAAAGAAAGAAAAGGGGGGCAGGCGCUGCUGGGCCGACCCGCCUCAAUUUCGGUCCGCUCAGACGCGCGGCCCAGCUUCUUCCCCCGCCUCGCCGCGCACGGACGUGCCCGCCCUUCUCCACCCGGUGCCGGCC